AUUCCAGCUCCAAUAGCGUAUAUUAAAGUUGUUGCAGUUAAAAAGCUCGUAGUUGGAUUUCUGGGAGGGUGCCGAUGUCCACUUAACGUGUGCGCAGCGGCGCCCUCUCAUCCUUCUGUUAGCGUCUCUUGGCAUUCAUUUGCUGGUGGCGGGCUCAGAUAUUUUACCUUGAGAAAAUUAGAGUGUUUCAGGCAGGCUAGGCCGGAAUACAUUAGCAUGGAAUAAUGGAAUAGGACUACGGUCUCUUUGUUGGUUUGAGGGACUGCAGUAAUGAUUAAUAGGGAUAGUUGGUGGCAUUAGUACUUAACUGUCAGAGGUGGAAUUCUCAGAUUUGUUAAAGACUGACUUAUGCGAAAGCGUUUGCCAAGGAUGUUUUCAUUG
rnacentral:rRNA from 1 species